CAAAGCUUCAUCAUCUAUUAAAAAAAUGAAGAGCUUUCUAAGAAUCAUUGUCUUUAGUGUUCUCAUGUUUUAUUUUCUUCAAAGUGAGGGAGUUGAAUUUGCUGUUGUUCGUCCUACAAGUGGUGAUGAUAUUGUGGCAGAGAAACACACAUGUGUCAAACCCCGUGUAACCUCCACACCACUGCCUCCACCACUACACUUGCUGCUGCUCCGGCUAGCCGUCACAGAUGAUAUUGGAACUGUUAGUUCAUUAUAGUAUCACAUAUUACAUUAUAAUUUAUAAUAAUUAGAAUGUAAUAUGUGAUCCUAUAAUGAGGUCACAUCAUUAAUAAAGUAGUUUAUGAUCGAUCUCUUUUUUUUUUUUUUUUUUGUUUUACAUGAUUUGUCUAAUUAUGGAAUUGCUUUAAAUAAAAAUGAAGAGCAUUCUAAGAACCAUUGUUUUUACAAUACUCAUGUUUUAUUUUCUUCAAAAUAAGAGAGUUGAAUUUACUACAGAGAAAUAUACUUGUUUGAGACCUCUGUGUGUCCGUCACACCACUGCCUCUACCAAUACUUGUUGCUGCUAUUCGUCCUACAAGUGGUGAUGAUAUUGUGGCAGAGAAACACAUGUGUCAAACUCCCGUGUUACCUCCACACCACUGCCUUCACCACUAGACUUGCUGCUGCUCAUGCCAACAGUCACAAAUGAUAUUGGAACUGCUAGUUCAUUAUAGGAUCACAUAUUACAUUAUCAUUUAUAAUAAUUAUAAUGUAAUAUCAUCAUUAAUAAAGCAGUUUAUGAUCUAUCUCUCUUUCUCUUGUGGUAUUGCUUUACAUGAUUUGUCUAAUUAUCCUAUGGAAUUGCUUUAA